GACCCCAGCACAGCAACCCCAUCUGUUCCCGAGCUUCUGACCUUCCGUAGGGCUCAACACAGAAGGAACGGUGAAACAAGAGGAGGACUUUGGGGUUCAACCAAGUCAAAGAGAAGCAGGCUUGGGAACAAGGGUUUCCUUUGCUGUGAAGAGACACCAUGACCAAGGCAACUCUUAUAAAGGACAACAUUUAAUUGAAGCUGGCUCACAGUUUCAGAGGCUCAGUCAUUAUCAUCAUGGCCGAAAACAUGGCAGUGUCCUGGCAGGCAUGGUGCUGGAGAAGGAACGAAAGUUUCUACAUCUGGAUCCAAGGCAAGCAGGAGAGUCUCAAAGCCCACCCCCACAGUGACACACUUCCUCCAACAAGGCCACACCUAAUACUGCCACUCCGUAGGCCAAGCAUAUUCAAACCACCACAUAGUGGCAUGGCAGUACGGAGGUGGGGGGUGGGGGCAUGACCAACUACUUGUUUGUUUGUUUUUGCUUUUAGGUGAAGCUUGCUCCACAGGAAGGAUUCCCUGCCGGGUACUAUAAACCUGUCCCAGGUCCAUGACUAAGAGAAGACUGUGGGGCCUGUGGUAGACUCUACUGCUGUCAUUUCGUUAAACAGCCAUGCUGUCAAAAGAACUGCAUUUUAGUAUUUGAGGUUAUAUCCUUAGAUGUGUACUAUGCUCAACUCGUGCUGGCUGUAAAUAACAGUGCUUAGCUGUGGAUGGAUCGUCUAGAUCAACCCCCACCACCCAUGGCUCAGGACACAUCAUGGAAUAGAGGGUAGAAGAGCCCUGAAAUGCCACGUUUUGAUCAUCUCACAAAAGCUGUGGAUGUCUGCACAGGAGCCAGCCAGUCAAAAUGUCGUCAUUGAAAGGUCCCACCCCGACCAGAGGAGCUGUUGGCAGUUGAUAGAUAGAUACUGAAAGAGGGGGAGAUAGCCACUCUCCUCUGGGGACAUGGCUGCUAGUACCUUUUUUUUUUUUCCAAAACCUACUUUUAAUGAUGGUUCUUAAACGAUUAAACCUCCCUUGUAGCCCACCACCCACCAGAGGUAUUGGAAAAGAAAGAACACUGAGGAAGUGGACCUGUUUAGAAAGGGUCUUUAGAGCAACCCCCAUCGGUUGUCUGGAAAUCAGCAGGUCAGUCCACAAGUCGGCUGUUACAGCUCAAUCCAUUUGCGAGCACUUCACAGAUACACCAGCAGUCCAGUUCAGUAGAGUCGGGAUAGCAAACAGAGAUCAGUCAGCAGUGGUGGCACGACCUAGCAGAGACAGCCAGGCCCCAGCCUUGGCACAGGUCAGCAGGAGGGACCAGGAGGAGUGCCAGGAGAAGUUUUCUACUGUACCUUUCUUAGCAAGGCAAAGAUCAGAAGAUGGGGGAAGUCACAAGAGCAACAAGAGUUGCACGGCUAGUUCUAUAAGCAAGCCAAGCUCAGCCCCCAUCACUGUCCGUGCAGUCCUAUUGAGAUCCUUCCAAAUACCAUGUGUCCUCCACAGGUCUUACCUCAGUAUGUGAUCUGUCUUAGAGGACAUCAUUCUCACAAUCAGCCACAUCUGAGGAAGCUGUAAGAAACUGCAGCACACCACCAGAAGAUUUUUGGUGCAUUUCUCUGUAUGGAGUCCCAACAAAUACAGCUCAACUACACAAUGUAAGGCGGACCAACACAUGCAAAGAAUCCUGUGUCACGUGUCCUUUCACGUGCUUGCUUUAGCAGAACGUCCUUUCGCCUGUGUCUGCUUCAGGAAAACCCUCCUUCCCGUGUUUGCCCCAGCAAAACGCCAUCCAACACAACCGACUUUCCAAAGAACCCUCAAGUUUCCACUUCAGCUGCUGGUAGCUUGCUCAUGCCCCAGUGGAAGGUCACACACCUAGGCGAGUGUGGGCAGCGCAAGCCAGACUCAGAAUUCUGACAACAAAAUCUGAAUAAAAGGAAGACAGGAAGCUGGGAGGGACAUGGGGUGGAGGCACUAUGGGGACUGGGAGGCAGUGGUGGGUAAAAAUGAUCAAUGUGCUCUGGAUAAAUGCAUCCCCUCCCCCAAGACAGGCCCUCACUGGGUAAUCCUGGCUGCCCUGGAAUCCACUGUGUAGACCAGGCUAGCCUCAAGCUUGCAUUGAUCCACCUGCCUUUGUCUCCCAGGUGCUGGGGUUGAAGAUUGUGCCACCACAAUGAGUUAGUGAAUGAUCUUUCUAAUAACAAGAAAAUAUUAAUUAAAAAUAUAAUCUAGGGGGCCAGAGAGAUGGCCCAAUGGUUAAGAGCCCUUGCUGCUCUUGCAGGGGGCCUGGAUUCAGUUCCCAGAAUGCAUAGUACCACUCGCAAUCAUCUAUAGCUCCAGUUCCUGGAGGAUCUGACACCAUCUUCUGGCCUUGAGAGCACCAGACAUCCAUGUUUUACUUACAUACAUGCAAAUACUCAUACAUUAUAAAAUAAAAAGAAAAUAAAUAAAUCUUAAAAAAAAAAAAAAAGUCUAGGAGCCAGAUGUGGUGCUACAUGCCUUUAAUCCCAACGCCCAGAGAGCGGAGGCAGCUGGAUCUCUGAAUUGGAGGUCAGCUUGGUCUACAGUGUAUUUUUUUUUUUGAAGAUUUAUUUAUUGUAUGUAUGUGAGUACACUGUCGCUGUCUUCAGACACACCAGAAGAGGGCAUUGGAUGUGCAUUACAGACAGUUGUGAGCCACCAUGUAGUUGCUGGGAUUUGAACUCAGGACCUCUGGAAGAGCUGUAAGUGCUCUUAACCACUGAGCCAUCUCUCCAGCCCUACAAUGUAAUUAUAUAUAAUAAAUAAAUCUUUUUUUAACAUCUGGGCAGGAAGAUGAAGUGAAAACCUCUAGUUUCAUUGGAAAGUCAGUUAUGUCAAAUGAUGUUGUGCUGAAGCAGACACAGGGGAAAGGAUGUUUGGAUACAGCAAACACUUGAAAGGACCUGUGUUGAAGGAACAUAACUGACCCCACAGACAGUGGGAGACGAGCACUGAGCCUUGGUUUGGUUUGCUCCACCUCACUUUUCUUCGAAUUACCUUACAUAGCUAAACUCGUGGUAAUGCUGCCUUUUGAGAGAGAAACUCACCCAAGAACUGGUCAUGAGGUUCCUGUGGCCAUUCGCCGAUUCCACAGCCUUGUCCUAGGCCAGUUGUCGAGCCUGGCAGUUUCUUCAGGAUUGACCUACAGCCGCCUGGUGUCUGCUGCUGAAAGGACUGGACUGUAGCUGCUGGUUUGUGCCAGUUUUCUGAGGACUGGUCUGCAGCUGCUGACUAAGAAGAUGGAGCUCGCCCCCACAAAGCUAUGGCUGAACAGGUCCACUUCCCCCACAUCCUAAUAACUUUCCUCUUCCACUGCCUCAGCUGGAUGGUUGAACCCUUAUUAAAAGUAGAUUGCAAAAA